AGCGAACGCUGGCGGCAGGCUUAACACAUGCAAGUCGAACGCUCCUUCGGGGGAGUGGCAGACGGGUUAGUAACGCGUGGGAACGUGCCCUUUGGUUCGGAAUAUUCUCGGGAAACUGAGAGCAAUACCGGAUAAGCCCUACGGGGGAAAGAUUUAUCGCCAAAGGAGCGGCCCGCGUCAGAUUAGCUAGUUGGUAGGGUAAUGGCCUACCAAGGCUACGAUCUGUAGCUGGUCUGAGAGGAUGAUCAGCAACACUGGGACUGAGACACGGCCCAGACUCCUACGGGAGGCAGCAGUGGGGAAUAUUGGACAAUGGGCGAAAGCCUGAUCCAGCCAUGCCGCGUGGAUGAUGAAGGCCUUAGGGUUGUAAAAUCCUUUCACCGGAGAUGAUAAUGACAGUAUCCGGAGAAGAAGCCCCGGCUAACUUCGUGCCAGCCGCCGCCGUAA
rnacentral:rRNA from 1 species